rnacentral:lncRNA from 1 species
AUGGCUCUUCAUUUCGUGAGAAACAUAAAAUUGUAUGGCUCUUCAUUUCAUUGCCUGAAGCCGAGAAGCUGGAUGAGUGAUGAGGUUAUUGAUGCAUAUUUGAGCUGCGUGGUCAAGAAAGCAGAUGGAAAGUGUGGAGGACUACUGCAUAUACUGCAACUUUGUCAACUGUGAAAAGGAAAGUGAGGAUUGCAUGAUGGUAAGAAACAGAGAAUUGUAUGAGAAAUAAAUGCCAAACUGCCUAAGGAUCA